rnacentral:rRNA from 1 species
CCUACGGGCGGCAGCAGUGAGGAAUAUUGGUCAAUGGACGAGAGUCUGAACCAGCCAAGUAGCGUGAAGGAUGACUGCCCUAUGGGUUGUAAACUUCUUUUAUAUAGGAAUAAAAUGUUCCACGUGUGGGAUUUUGUAUGUACCAUAUGAAUAAGGAUCGGCUAACUCCGUGCCAGCAGCCGCGGUAAUACGGAGGAUCCGAGCGUUAUCCGGAUUUAUUGGGUUUAAAGGGAGCGUAGGUGGGUUGUUAAGUCAGUUGUGAAAGUUUGCGGCUCAACCGUAAAAUUGCAGUUGAAACUGGCAGUCUGGAGUACAGUAGAGGUGGGCGGAAUUCGUGGUGUAGCGGUGAAAUGCUUAGAUAUCACGAAGAACUCCGAUUGCGAAGGCAGCUCACUGGACUGCAACUGACACUGAGGCUCGAAAGUGUGGGUAUCAAACAGGAUUAGAUACCCCGGUAGUC